UUUAAAUGUAAAUUUUUAAUUCUAUAUUAGUAUUUGUUAAGUUCAUGAAAAUAAAAAGAUUUGGCGGUAUUUUAUUCUUUUUAGAGGAACCUGUUUUUUAAUUGAUUCUCCACGAUUAAAUUAACUUGAAUUAUUAAUUUAUAUAUCAUCGUUAAAAUUAUAUUAUAAGAUAUAAUAAUUUUAUUGUAAUAUUAUAAUUUAGUUCAGAUCAAGGUGUAGUUUAUAUUUAAGAUUUUAUGGGUUACAAUAACUUUAGUUAUAGAUUAUUAAUUGAGAAUUAAUUUAAAAUUGGAUUUAAUAGUAAUUAAGAAAAUAUUUUUUUAAUGAUUAAGUAAUAAAAUAUGU
rnacentral:rRNA from 1 species